UGGGAAUAUUGCGCAAUGGGCGAAAGCCUGACGCAGCAACACCGCGUGAGGGAUGACGGCCUUCGGGUUGUAAACCUCUUUCAGCUCCGACGAAGCGAAAGUGACGGUAGGAGCAGAAGAAGCACCGGCUAACUACGUGCCAGCAGCCGCGGUAAUACGUAGGGUGCAAGCGUUGUCCGGAAUUAUUGGGCGUAAAGAGCUCGUAGGCGGUCCGUUGCGUCUGCCGUGAAAACCCGGAGCUCAACUCCGGGCCUGCGGUGGAUACGGGCGGACUAGAGUCCGGUAGGGGAGACUGGAAUUCCUGGUGUAGCGGUGGAAUGCGCAGAUAUCAGGAGGAACACCGGUGGCGAAGGCGGGUCUCUGGGCCGGAACUGACGCUGAGGAGCG
rnacentral:rRNA from 1 species